AUGCGGCAGCAGCGGGGCGUCGGCAGGGGCGGGGGCCGGCGGGAUCCCGGGCUGCUGACCAGGGUGGUGGACAAGGUCUUCCGCUUCGUCCGCCUCGCCGAGUUCGAGAUCCUCUUCGUCCUCUUCUUCUUCAUCGCCUUCAUCCUCUUCAAGGAUCUCAUGUCUCGACCAGACUACAACCAGAUCUUUGUCAAGAAGCCUGAUCAAGAUGACCGCUGGCCUUAG
rnacentral:rRNA from 1 species